rnacentral:misc_RNA from 1 species
GAUGAAGAACGUAGUAAAUGCGAUAAGUAGUGUGAAUUGCAGAAUUCAGUGAAUCAUCGAAUCUUUGAACGCACAUUGCGCCCUUUGGUAUUCCAAAGGGCAUGCCUGUUCGAGCGUCAUUUGUACCCUCAAGCUUUGCUUGGUGUUGGGCGUCUUGUCUCUAGCUUUGCUGGAGACUCGCCUUAAAGUAAUUGGCAGCCGGCCUACUGGUUUCGGAGCGCAGCACAAGUCGCACUCUCUAUCAGCAAAGGUCUAGCAUCCAUUAAGCCUUUUUUUCAACUUUUGACCUCGGAUCAGGUAGGGAUACCCGCUGAACUUAAGCAUAUCAAUAAGCGGAGGA